rnacentral:rRNA from 1 species
UGCUACUUCUAGAGAUAGAAGGUUCCCUUCGGGGACAGAGUGACAGGUGGUGCAUGGUUGUCGUCAGCUCGUGUCGUGAGAUGUUGGGUUAAGUCCCGCAACGAGCGCAACCCUUGAUCUUAGUUGCCAGCAUUCAGUUGGGCACUCUAAGGUGACUGCCGGUGACAAACCGGAGGAAGGUGGGGAUGACGUCAAAUCAUCAUGCCCCUUAUGACCUGGGCUACACACGUGCUACAAUGGAUGGUACAAAGGGCUGCAAAACCGUGAGGUCGAGCCAAUCCCAUAAAACCAUUCUCAGUUCGGAUUGUAGGCUGCAACUCGCCUACAUGAAGCCGGAAUCGCUAGUAAUCGCGGAUCAGCAUGCCGCGGUGAAUACGUUCCCGGGUCUUGUACACACCGCCCGUCACACCACGAGAGUUUUAACACCCGAAGUCGGUGAGGUA